GUUGAGGUUAUAAAGUUAUAUUUGAAUCUGUUGCUGAAAAUAUAUUUGGUCCUAUCGAACUGGUAUACUUUUAGCUGGGAUUUCUUCGUAUAAAACCGUAUGCAAUCCCAGCUGUAGAAAUUUGCUAAACAGUGUAACAUAUUGGGUUAUAGAGAUCUGGCAGUAACAGACAAUAGAGUGAAGUAAAAAAUAAUAUUAAUGCAUAGAAGAUCAUCAGUUUUAACCUAAAAACUUCUGGAACGGUUGCUGGUUCGAUAUAGACCGUAAGUUUUACUCCAAAUUCAGCAAACGCCGAAUUGAGAGAUAGCCUCAAAAUACAAAUACAUUAUCAUGAAGAUGGAAAUGUACAAUUGGUCAGCGAGAAGCAAACAGCGAAAGAUUUGAUACAUGCUGAUUGUAAAAUAUAGGAUGUAAGUGUACGUCUAGUAAUCAUAUAAGUUUAUCUACGUCUAGUAUGUAUACCUAUAUAACAAUGUAAUUCUACGUCUAGUAUGUAUAACAAUUUAAGUCUAUCUACGUCUAGUAUGUAUACCAAUAUAACAAUAUAAGUGUAUCUACGCCUAGUAUGUAUAUCUAUGUAACAAUGUAUCUAUCUACGUUUAGACUUUUAGUUUUUUUAAAAUAAAAUAAUUUUGAAAAGAA